AGCGAACGCUGGCGGCAGGCCUAACACAUGCAAGUCGAACGAACCUUUCGGGGUUAGUGGCGGUCGGGUGAGUAACACGUGGGAACGUGCCUUUAGGUUCGGAAUAACUCACGGAAACUUGAGCUAAUACCGAAGGUGCCCUUACGGGGUAAGAUUAAUCGCCUUUAGAGCGGCCCGGGUCUGUUUAGCUAGUUGGUUGAGGUAAGGGCUCACCAAGGCGAGGAGCAGUAGCUGGUCGGUGAGGAUGAUCAGCCACAUCGGGACUGAGACACGGCCCAAACUCCUACGGGAGGGAGGAGAGGGGAAUCUUGCGCAAGGGGGGAUAGCCUGACGCAGCCAUGCCGGGUGAAUGGUGAAGGUGGUAGGAAUGCAAAAUUCUUUGUCCCGGGGCGUUAGUGACGGUACCCGGAGAAGAAGCACCGGCUAACUUCGUG
rnacentral:rRNA from 1 species